rnacentral:rRNA from 1 species
AUGGAAUACCAGUAUCUUUUCACUCUCAAAUCACUUCGCCACCCCCAGGUCCUCUCUGUUGACCUAUCCCUUUGCCUUGACAACUCACCGCUUAGAAUCACGAAUGUCUAUGCCCCCUGUGUCCAUAGUGCUAAGGAGGCUUUCCUCAGCGAGUUAGCCGGUCAUGCACCUCCAAAUUCCACCCCCUGGGCUAUCAUGGGGGACUUCAACCUCAUCCGUACGCCUGAGGAUCAUAGUAAUGAGAACUUUUCUCGGGUCAAGGCUAUUUGGUUUAAUGAUUUCGUUAAUGUCCUCGCACUCAUUGAUCUCCCGCUUCGUGACCGCCAGUUCACUUGGUCCAACAGGCAGGCCUCUCUAGUUCUUGCUCGCCUCGACCGAGUACUCAUUAACGUCGCUUGGGACUCUGCGUUUCCAACCUCUACGCUUGCAUCCUUCACCCGCUCCAUGUCCGACCAUGUCCCUCUCGUCGUGUCCAUCUCCUCAAUGGCCCCCAAAACCCGUAUCUUUCGGUUUGAGAAGUCAUGGACCCUUCACCUGUCCUUCCGCUCCUCUAUGCGCUCUGCCUGGACCUUGACUUUUUGA